rfam:Physcomitrella patens subsp. patens PHYPAscaffold_428 genomic scaffold, whole genome shotgun sequence.
UAAGAGGCUUUUAUAAAAGCCAUGUUUAGAUAUCUUUAAUUAUUAU